rnacentral:lncRNA from 1 species
CUGAAGACGUAAAUGCCAUGUCUGGUAUGGUACAGUGGCAGGAUGUAUUUUGGGAGCUUUGCCACUCCUUGUCUCCGCAUCAACUUGAAGAUCCCCCCUUGGCAAGGAGCCAUUUCUGCCUGAGUUGCACCAGCCUGGGCAGGGUCCUGCUGCCAGAACGCCCGUGCUGUCUCCUCCUCCCUGGCUCUCUCAGCCAGAGGAUGCCCAGGAACCACAGAUCUUACCUGAAUCCUGGCUCCUCCUGUGCUGCAAGCCAACAAGGUCCUGACCAUUCUCCCAAUUAG